rnacentral:rRNA from 1 species
UACAGAGGUGGCAAGCGUUGUUCGGAAUUACUGGGCGUAAAGGGCGCGUAGGCGGUCUUGCAAGUCCUGUGUGAAAUCCCUCGGCUCAACUGAGGAACUGCACAGGAAACUGCUUGGCUUGAGUUCGGGAGAGGGAUGCGGAAUUCCAGGUGUAGCGGUGAAAUGCGUAGAUAUCUGGAGGAACACCGGUGGCGAAGGCGGCAUCCUGGACCGAUACUGACGCUGAGGAGCGAAAGCCAGGGGAGCAAACGGG